rnacentral:misc_RNA from 1 species
GAUGAAGAACGUAGCGAAAUGCGAUAAGUAAUGUGAAUUGCAGAAUUCAGUGAAUCAUCGAAUCUUUGAACGCACAUUGCGCCCGCCAGCACUCUGGCGGGCAUGCCUGUUCGAGCGUCAUUUCAACCAUCAAGCCCCCGGCUUGUGUUGGGGACCUGCGGCUGCCGCAGGCCCUGAAAUGCAGUGGCGGGCUCGCUGUCACUCCGAGCGUAGUAGUUACAUCUCGCUCUGGGCGUGCUGCGGGUUCCGGCCGUUAAAAGCCUUAUUUACCCAAGGUUGACCUCGGAUCAGGUAGGAAGACCCGCUGAACUUAAGCAUAUCAAUAAGCGGAGGA